rnacentral:rRNA from 1 species
UGAGCGACCUACCUAAUUGUGGGGGAUAGCCGGCCCAACGGCCGGGUAAUACCGCAUACGAUCGGAGAGGGGCAUCCCUUUCUGAGGAAAGCCUUCGGGCGCAAUUUGAGGGGCUCGCGGCCUAUCAGCUAGUUGGCGGGGUAACGGCCCACCAAGGCGACGACGGGUAGCUGGUCUGAGAGGGUGACCGGCCACACGUGGGACUGAGACACGGCCCAGACUCCGUACGGGAGGCAGCGAGGUAGGGGAAUAGUU